AAGUCGUAACAAGGUUUCCGUAGGUGAACCUGCGGAAGGAUCAUUAGUGAAUAACCAAGGUCGGACUCUGUAAAGAGGAAGCCUUAACACUUAUUUUCAUACACCUGUGCAUUUGACCCUUUUUAAAAACACAAUGUUAACAUACAGUCGUUUAAAACACAAAUAUAAAAGAAAGUAAAACUUUCAGCAAUGGAUCUCUUGGCUCUC
rnacentral:misc_RNA from 1 species